UGGGGAAUAUUGCACAAUGGGCGCAAGCCUGAUGCAGCAACGCCGCGUGGAGGAAGACGGUUUUCGGAUUGUAAACUCCUGUUCUUAGUGAAGAAAAAUGACGGUAGCUAAGGAGCAAGCCACGGCUAACUACGUGCCAGCAGCCGCGGUAAUACGUAGGGGGCAAGCGUUGUCCGGAAUGAUUGGGCGUAAAGGGCGCGUAGGCGGCCAACUAAGUCUGGAGUGAAAGUCCUGCUUUUAAGGUGGGAAUUGCUUUGGAAACUGGAUGGCUUGAGUGCAGGAGAGGUAAGCGGAAUUCCCGGUGUAGCGGUGAAAUGCGUAGAGAUCGGGAGGAACACCAGUGGCGAAGGCGGCUUACUGGACUGUAACUGACGCUGAGGCGCGAAAGUGUGGGGAGCAAACAGGAUUAGAUACCCUGGUAGU
rnacentral:rRNA from 1 species